AUGGCACAAUACAACGGCAAGCUGUACCAGCCUCGCCGGGGCCCCGAGCACCCCCUGCAGCCGGCGGAGGACCCGGAGGCGCACGCCGUGAUUAACCACCUUGCGGUCAUGGCGGCGGAGGCGGAGGUGGAGGCGAUGAACGCGUACAGGGAGGAGCAUGAGCAGGAGGUGGAGGAGGGCGAGGGGGAUGGGCAACAUGGGCAUGGGGGUGGCAAGGUGGAGGUCGUCCAGAUGGAUGCCGAUGCCGUGGUGGCUGCUGCUGCUAUGGCAGCGGCAGUUGUGGCGGCCACACAGUUGGACCUACACAGGGCAAUGGUAUUGGUCUCUACAAUUGGGCCGCACCCUUUUAUGUGA
rnacentral:rRNA from 1 species